AACGCCCCUGAAUGCUUAUGCCGGUGGUUGGUAGAGGAAAUGGAAUUCCCCAGACUGGUAAGAGCGCGCGCAGACACAGCCUUGUCUCACGCGCCCAAUCAGGAGCGUGUGGUGGGAGGUGCCAAGGAUUAAUUACCAGAUACCUUUAGUCUAGCUCGGGCCGGGAUUUUGAGGUUUCCGGUGGAGCAGUACCUCUUGACUUGCUACUGGUACCUGGAAGAGAUGUAACACCUGACCAUGGGACAUCAAGUGACUGUGUGAAUCAAACUGCCCAUCAUGAAUUGUUGUUAUUUGACUCAUCAAACUGUACAACUGGAUGAACACAGGAGCAGUGCACUACAUAUGGGACUGGAACCAUGAAUGAGCAGGUGACUCAGACUCCUAUAGUACCUGCCUCUACUCCUUCAGCACUUCUCCCUCAACCCACAUAAACUGUCAUCAUAAUGAGUUCCCUCUGACCAGUUAAUGGAAGAGAAAAAAGUAUGGAUGUUAUGGAUAUCCUAACAUAUUUCUGGCCAUUGGACCCCUAGAAACCUGUGGCAAGUCCUGGAAGUUUUUCAAGGUUCAUCUUGCACCUUCUAGCAUGCAUAUGUCGUACCAAAGCAUGUAGAAUGCUGCCUACUUCUGCUCUUCAGUUUCAUUUAAUAUAAUUUCAUUACUCUGAUAAAUCAGUGUGAUGUUCUAUGGAAUAACAAAAGACCAUCAAGGUCCCUUCAUACCAUAUAGAGAACAGGAGAGUUGAUGUAGCCUGAGACAAGACAGUAAGGACUUACUGUUAUCCCUCCUAUUUAAACGUAGUCUGUUUCUGAUUCUCCUUAGAAUGGGGGUGGGGGGACAUUUCCAGAUCAAUAUCAGAUCAGUAUCAUGUCAACAUGGGUAUUAAUUUCUUCCGAAGAAGAUACCACACCUAGAACAGCAACCAUAAUUGGCAUCCCUACCUAAUUAAAGUUUGCAGUCCACUGUCAUUCUUCACUAGCCAUCUGGUUUUUAUAUUGUCAUUCUCUAUGAUGCAUCUGGUGGCCACAGGAAAUUUAAAUGGGAAUGUGGUAUGAAUCACCAUGGCAGCAUGGUGGCACUAAUCUCUGCAAUUCUUUUGGUUUUUCUAUUUUGCUUUUUUAUGUUUUGUAGAAAUGCAGUCUUGCCAUGUUAUAUAGGCUGGUCUCAAACUCCUGGUGUCAAGCAAUCCUCCUGCCUUGGUCCCCCUAAGUGCUGGGGUUACAGGCAUGAGCCACUGUGCCUGGCCAAUCUCUGCAAUUUCCUCAGGGAUAUAGCCCUGCUUUUCCUUUACUAUCUUAAUGAGGAGUGGUAGAAAGCAGACCUAAGCUGCUGUGUAGCACUUUCUACCAUAAUAGCAAUCCCUCCAUUGAUCAGGAAACCAAAAUAAAGAUUGUUGUUAAAAGAUACAUAUUACCACUACACAUCUGGGACUGGAGAAAUAGCCACAGUAUGGGUCCUUCUGGAUCUACUGUUAGCCACAGCCAGGCCAAGAUUCCAUCACUUGACUUCCUUAGGUUCCCUAUUCUGACCAGUUGUCCAGGGUAGAGUUUUGGGUUUCUAGUAUUAGUACAAGUUAAGAGACAGUGCCUUAAGAAUUCUAGCCAGCCUGGGCCGGGCGGUGGGUCACGCCUGUAAUCUCAGCACUUUGGGAGGCCGAGGUGGGUGGAUCACGAGGUCAGCAGAUCGAGACCAUCCUGGAUAACAUGGUGAAACCCUGUCUCUACUAAAAAUACAAAAAAAUUUACCUA
rnacentral:lncRNA from 1 species